rnacentral:rRNA from 1 species
UACGAAGGGGGGCUAGCGUUGCUCGGAAUGACUGGGCGUAAAGGGCGCGUAGGCGGUUCGUACAGUCAGACGUGAAAUUCCCGGGCUCAACCUGGGGGCUGCGUUUGAUACGUACGGGCUUGAGUUCGGAAGAGGGUCGUGGAAUUCCUAGUGUAGAGGUGAAAUUCGUAGAUAUUGGGAAGAACACCGGUGGCGAAGGCGGCGACCUGGUCCGAUACUGACGUGAGGCGCGAAAGCGUGGGGAGCAAACAGG